GAGAUCACCCCUUGUUUUUUGGUGGGGUUCGAGUUGUUUAUUCUUUAGUUUUCUAUGUUGUGUCGUGUGUGCUGUUGUUUGUUUGUCUUUUUCAUUUUUAGCCAUGGCGUUGUCAGUUUGUUUUAGAUUUAUGAGUUUGACUGUCCCUUUGGUAUCUUUCGUCCCUCUUUUACCUUAGAUGCAGUUGACAAAACCUUUCGGGUCCUAAAUGCUUUUCAACGUUGUAUUUCAAUUGACCAUCUUAAAAUUUUAUUCGACCGUCACUAAUGAGUAAUAGAUUGAAGACAAAACGCGCGUCUGGUGUACACAACUUUAAUGCUGGUAUCAAUGAGUGUAUAGCUGUGUCUCUUGUAUAAAACCAACCGUGUUGCAUUUAUUAAUGAGUUCGAAUAUCACAAUUGCAUUGACA
rnacentral:lncRNA from 1 species